rnacentral:rRNA from 1 species
GUCUACGGCUGUGCCACCCUGAACAAGCCUGAUGUCUGAUCUUGGAAGCUAAGCAGGGUAGGGUCUGGUUAGUAUUUGGAUGGGAGACCACCUAUUAUUUAUGCUGUAGGCA